rnacentral:rRNA from 1 species
AUUGCGCAAUGGAGGAAACUCUGACGCAGCGACGCCGCGUGAGCGAUGAAGGUCUUCGNAUCGUANANCUCUGUCCUUGGGGAAGNCGAUCGAAAGAUUUGACGGUACCCGCGUAGGAACCCCCGUCUAACUACGUGCCAGCAGCCUCGGUAAUACGUAGGGGGCAAGCGUUGUCCGGAAUUACUGGGUGUAAAGGGUGCGUAGGCGGAUUUUCAAAUCAGGUGUGAAAGAACACGGCUUAACCGUGGGGUUGCAUUUGAAACUAGAAGGCUUGAGUAUCGGGGAGGGUAGUGGAAUUCCCAGUGUAGCGGUGAAAUGCGUAGAUAUUGGGAGGAACACCAGUGGCGAAGGCAACUACCUGGACGAAAACUGACGCUGAUGCACGAAAGCUAGGGGGGCAAACAG